UACGUAGGCAGCAAGCGUUGUUCGGAAUUACUGGGCGUAAAGAGUGUGUAGGCGGUGCUCUAAGUUCGGUGUGAAAUCUCCCGGCUUAACUGGGAGGGUGCGCCGGAAACUGGAGUGCUCGAGCGUGGGAGAGGAAAGCGGAAUUCCUGGUGUAGCGGUGAAAUGCGUAGAUAUCAGGAAGAACACCUAUGGCGAAGGCAGCUCUCUGGGACGGUACUGACGCUGAGACGCGAAAGCGUGGGGAGCGAACAGG
rnacentral:rRNA from 1 species